rnacentral:rRNA from 1 species
AUUGAACGCUGGCGGCAUGCUUUACACAUGCAAGUCGAACGGUAACAGGCCGCAAGGUGCUGACGAGUGGCGAACGGGUGAGUAAUGCAUCGGAACGUGCCCAGUCGUGGGGGAUAACUGCUCGAAAGAGCAGCUAAUACCGCAUACGAUAUAUGGAUGAAAGCGGGGGACCGUAAGGCCUCGCGCGAUGGGAGCGGCCGAUGGCAGAUUAGGUAGUUGGUGGGAUAAAAGCUUACCAAGCCGACGAUCUGUAGCUGGUCUGAGAGGACGAUCAGCCACACUGGGACUGAGACACGGCCCAGACUCCUACGGGAGGCAGCAGUGGGGAAUUUUGGACAAUGGGCGCAAGCCUGAUCCAGCAAUGCCGCGUGCAGGAUGAAGGCCUUCGGGUUGUAAACUGCUUUUGUACGGAACGAAAAGCCCUGGGUUAAUACCCUGGGGUCAUGACGGUACCGUAAGAAUAAGCACCGGCUAACUACGUGCCAGCAGCCGCAGUAACAC